UGCGCAUUACAUCAGAAAGACAUCACAUCUUUCAAAUGCUCAAUGCGCAUUACAUCAGAAAGACAUCACAUCUUUCAAAUGAAUUGCCAUUGUAGGUAAAACACACAGUAUUAGUGCUGUAGUGGAGGGAACGGUUUCUCUUUUCCAACCCUGAACUUGUGACUCCUAGUCUGCUGCUGCUGUAGUGGGAACCCUGGCUUGAUGAAUUGUUUACCAGUUUUUGCCUGGGAACUGUUUAGACGGGGCGGGGGGUGGGGGGUGGUAUCAUUGCCCCAUUCACUUGGCCAUGAAUUGGUGAAAGAAAAGAUAAAAGAUUUUACCCGGUGGCACUUUUUGCUGCCUCAACAUGAGCCAUCUUUGCCUGAUAGAGGUGACGUGUACCAUCAGAGGACAGGUGUGUUGUGUUGUGUUGUGUUGUGUUGUGUUGUGUUGUCUGAUAGAGGUAAUGUGUACCAUCAGAGGACACGUGUGUUGUGUCGUGUUGUGCUGUGUGUUGUGUUGUGUUGUCUGAUAGAGGUAAUGUGUACCAUCAGAGGACACGUGUGUUGUGUCGUGUUGUGCUGUGUGUUGUGUUGUGUUGUCUGACAGAGGUAAUGUGUACCAUCAGAGGACACGUGUGUUGUGUCGUGUUGUGUUGUAUGUUGUGUUGUGUUGUCUGACAGAGGUAAUGUGUACCAUCAGAGGACACGUGUCGUGUUGUGUGUUGUAUGUUGUGUUGUGUUGUCUGAUAGAGGUAAUGUGUACCAUCAGAGGACACGUGUCGUGUUGUGUGUUGUAUGUUGUGUUGUGUUGUCUGACAGAGGUAAUGUGUACCAUCAGAGGACACGUGUGUUGUGUCGUGUUGUGCUGUGUGUUGUGUUGUGUUGUCUGAUAGAGGUAAUGUGUACCAUCAGAGGACACGUGUGUUGUGUCGUGUUGUGCUGUGUGUUGUGUUGUGUUGUCUGACAGAGGUAAUGUGUACCAUCAGAAGAGUAGUUUGUUUAAUCCUUGCAGAUUUUUACAAUGCUCAAUUUUGAGCAGUUGAGCAUCUGCAGGUUUAGAUUGUGAUUUUAAAAAAAGUUUUGAUCUGUGUCUUUUCCUCUUCAGACAAGGGUGCUUCUUUUUGCAAUUGCAUUAUGACUUCCCCAUCGGAGAAGGAGAUGCAACUCUUGACCCCCUCCUCUGAAAUGUUCCAACUUCUGAGAAUGGGAAGGUCAAGAGAUGAAAGUUUCAUCAUUCAUUUAUGGAUUUUUUUGCCUGAUUAUAAAUGUGACUGGAAUUGGCUAUAAAAAAUCGUUUUACGUAGACUAAAGUG